UAUCUCUGUAGAGUCUGCAUAUCAAUAAGCGGAGGAAAAGAAACUAACAAGGAUUCCCCUAGUAACGGCGAGUGAAGCGGGAAGAGCUCAAAUUUGAAAUCUUCAAGGGUUUCCCUUGACGAAUUGUAGUUUAUAGAAGUGUUUUCUGUUAGAGAGGUGGUAAAAGUUCUUUGGAAUAGGACAUCAUAGAGGGUGAGAAUCCCGUAUUUGAUCACUUUCUACUAACGUUGUGAUACACUUUCAAAGAGUCGGAUUGUUUGGGAAUGCAGUCCAAAAUGGGUGGUAAAUUUCAUCUAAAGCUAAAUAUUGGCGAGAGACCGAUAGCGAACAAGUACCGUGAGGGAAAGAUGAAAAGAACUUUGAAAAGAGAGUUAAACAGUACGUGAAAUUGUCAAAAGGGAAGCGUUUGACACCAGUGUUGUUUUCUCGAAAAUCAAUUAAAAAAGGCCGGAUUUGUGUUGUAUUGACCUUAAAAGCUUUCUUCACUCUUUUCUUGUCUUUUUUAAUGCACUUUUCGUUUAACAAGUCAACAUCAGUUUCUUUUGUUGUAAAAGGGUCAUUGGAAGGUGGCUUUCUUUUCGGAGAAAGUGUUUAUAGCCUUUGAUCUCUGCAACCGGAGAGACUGAGGUCUGCAGCGUAGACUCUUCGGGGUUAGAUACAUCUGUGCUAAAGCUAUAGCUUUUUAUAGACAACUUGUUGACUAUAUUUAGUCUUGUGGCUUACUCGCUUAUGCUAUUUUACCUACGCUUAGGAUGUUGAUGUGAUACUGCGAGCA
rnacentral:rRNA from 1 species